CGGCUACCACUUACAGAUGGACCCGCGGCGCAUUAGCUAGUUGGUGAGGUAACGGCUCACCAAGGCAACGAUGCGUAGCCGACCUGAGAGGGUGAUCGGCCACACUGGGACUGAGACACGGCCCAGACUCCUACGGGAGGCAGCAGUAGGGAAUCUUCCGCAAUGGACGAAAGUCUGACGGAGCAACGCCGCGUGAGUGAUGAAGGUUUUCGGAUCGUAAAGCUCUGUUGUUAGGGAAGAACAAGUGCCGUUCAAAUAGGGCGGCACCUUGACGGUACCUAACCAGAAAGCCACGGCUAACUACGUGCCAGCAGCCGCGGUAAUACGUAGGUGGCAAGCGUUGUCCGGAAUUAUUGGGCGUAAAGGGCUCGCAGGCGGUUUCUUAAGUCUGAUGUGAAAGCCCCCGGCUCAACCGGGGAGGGUCAUUGGAAACUGGGGAACUUGAGUGCAGAAGAGGAGAGUGGAAUUCCACGUGUAGCGGUGAAAUGCGUAGAGAUGUGGAGGAACACCAGUGGCGAAGGCGACUCUCUGGUCUGUAACUGACGCUGAGGA
rnacentral:rRNA from 1 species